rnacentral:tRNA from 1 species
GACCCCAUCGUCUAGAGGCCUAGGACAUCGCCCUUUCACGGCGGUAACGCGAGUUCGAAUCUCGCUGGGGUCGCCA